AGUACGUGUGGCGAUAUACCUGGACUUGAUUAUGGCUAUGUUGUUGAGUCUUCUGCCCCUCCCUAUCACCAUGGAGCUUCAGUGGAGUUCAAGUGCAGAGAAACAUUUAUAUUGAUUGGACACAGAUCAAUUUACAUGUGUUAGUGGAAUGUGGACCCAACUUCUUCAGUGUGUUGCAACAAAUGAACUUAAGAAGUGUAAAUCAUCACAGUUGUUUUCAUAUGAGGUGAUUGAAUUUGAUCAUAAUACCAAUAUGCAUUACAAAUGUAGAGGAAGAUCAGACUACAAGCACUUGAUCUGCGUAAAUGGAAGGUGGGAGCCUGAAAUAACCUGCACAGAGCUACAAAUGCAGUCAUGACCACCUUCACCUCAGAUUCCCAAUGCUCGAGAUAUGACAACUACAGUGAAUUACCAUGAUAGAGAAAAAAUGUCUGUUCUGUGUCAAGAAAAUUAUGUAAUCCGUGACACAGUAGAAAUUGUGUAUAAAGAUGGAAGAUGGCAGUCAAUACCACGCUGUGUUGAGAAAAUUCCACGUUCUCAACCACCUCAUGUAGAAAAUGGACUCAUUAAAGGAACACUUGAAACCAGGCUUUAUGCACAUGGCACUAAAUUAAGUUAUAUUUGUGAACGUGGUUACAAGAUAUCCUCAGAAGAUAUCCCCAUUACAACCAGGCAGGGUGGAAGUCCACGCUCUUCACUUGGUCUUUGGAUCCAGAUGGGGAGAGAGGUGGUCUUAGGUUUUUUUCUCUGAUGUUUUUCUGAAGUAAUUUAAGUAUUAUAAAAAAUGCUUACCUUGCUAAGUUGCUCUUUUCCUGAGCCAUUGUCUAAAGAGAUAAAGGAAAUUCUUGGAACCUUUUUUUUUUUUUUUUUUGCCUGAACUUGAUAUCAUUUCUGGCUUACACUCUUCUUCAGUGCCCAGUCUAGGAUACACAGAAGGCACAGUAAAAACCCAAAUAACUCACUGCAGUGUGAUUCUUUGAAUUCUGAGGUCCUCGAAAGACUGACUUCUUGUCUACAUCUUUCACAGUCUCUUAUGUUGGAUUUUGCAGUAUGUUCAGGAUGAAGCCCUGAGCCAGCAUGGAAGAAUGCACUUGAAAGUCUGACAUUCUGUGGAAAAUAUUUAUUUACUACUUAAUGUUUUAUGUUCAUUCUUUUGUACUUUCAGGUAUAUGUGUUAUAUCAGAUGAAAUCUUGGAAAAACAUAGCAUAUGGUUACGAUGGAGUUUUAGGAAUCAAAUUUAUGCUAACCCAGGGGAUACUGUUGAAUGUGUGUGUCAACUUCGAUAUUGUAGACAGAUGUCACUUCAUACAUUCCAAGAAGCCUGUUGGGAAGGGAGACUGACGUAUCCUGUUUGUGUACAAACCAAUGGCUAAAAUGUAGUCCUAAUAUUAAAAUAUGUACACUUAUUCAGAAUUUUUCAUGGUUAAUUCAAUUCUCAGUUUAUUUUUUCAAGCUUUAAUAAUUUUUAUUCAUAAAUCAGAAUACGUGUUUAAAACAUGUGGAUAGUAUAAUUAUAA